CUCUCCUCCUGAUUGAACUGAAGCUGAGCCGAGCGAUGAGGUUAACUCUUCAGUUACAAGAGGUCAACUAAGUUGCCGAAUGAAAAAAGAAGGUAAUUUAUGGCGUGAACUGUGGGAUACAGCCAAGCCGAUACCAGCCAUUAAACAAACACCUCUCUUCGAUGAGGAUUUGGCAGUGGAAGGAAUUCUGAAUUACAAU